AAACGAUAGCUAAGACCGGAUAGCUGGUUUUCUCGCAUGAGAGAAUCAUGAAACACGGGGCAACCUGUGGCUUGCGGAUGGGCCUGCGGCGCAUUAGCUAGUUGGUAGGGUAACGGCCUACCAAGGCGACGAUGCGUAGCCGACCUGAGAGGGUGAACGGCCACACUGGGACUGAGACACGGCCCAGACUCCUACGGGAGGCAGCAGUAGGGAAUCUUCCGCAAUGGACGCAAGUCUGACGGAGCAACGCCGCGUGAGUGAUGAAGGUUUUCGGAUCGUAAAGCUCUGUUGCCCUAGACGAACGGUAUGGAGAGUAACUGCUCCAUAAGUGACGGUAUAGGAGAAGAAAGCCCCGGCUAACUACGUGCCAGCAGCCGCGGUAAUACGUAGGGGGCAAGCGUUGUCCGGAAUUAUUGGGCGUAAAGCGCGCGCAGGCGGUUCAUUAAGUUUGGUGUUUAAGCCCGGGGCUCAACCCCGGUUCGCAUCGAAAACUGGUGGACUUG
rnacentral:rRNA from 1 species